AGUGUCCAUGAUAGUGAAUCCAUUUUGGUUGUGCUGGAUUUGAGGUGGCAAAGAAAUAAGGAACUGGCAUGUGACUGCGGGAAAUUGGAGCUACCAGACAGGAGUUCAGGUGAAAAGAUAGGACUAGAGUUGGAUGCUAAAACUUGCAGUCACACAAGGACCUGAACCUAGAGCUUUUCUAAAGCCCGUACUCUUUCCAGUACCCUGAGCCAGGGGAGCCAGCGGGCAGAAAUGACGUGUGAGGUACCCUCUCUCCCUUCACUUCCAUGUGAUCUGUGACUCAUUUUGUCAAGACAUCCUGGGUCCCAGAGACCACUCUUAUUCCCAGGUGUGUGACCUCCUCCUACAGAGUACAGUGGGAAAGACACCGUCUCCAGGUGCCAGGUGCUACACAAGAUACUGGCUAGAGCAGUGAAUAGGACAGCCUCUCUCAUCCUCAUGGAGGUCACAGGACAAUGAGAAGAAAGACUUUUUUAUUUUUAUUUUUUUGAGACGGAGUUUUGCUCUUGUUGCCGAGGCUGGAGUGCAGUGGUGUGAUCUCGACUCACUGCAACCUCCGCCUCCCAAGUUCAAGCAAUUAUCCUGCCUCAGGCCUCUUGAGUAGCUGGGAUUACAGGCACCUGCCACCACGCCCGGCUAAUUUUUUGUAUUUUUAGUAGAGACGGGGUUUCACUGUGUUAGCCAGGAUGGUCUCGAUCUCCUAACCUCGUGAUCCGCCUGCCUCGGCCUCCCAAAGUGCUGGGAUUACAGGCGCGAGCCACCGUGCCCGGCCCCACUAUUG